ACACAGUUUCUAUUAGAAUUAUGUUUUUAAUGAUAAAGUUGGUUCCAAGUCCUAUAAGCUCAUUCACGUUGUUCUCCUGCCCUUUCUUUUGUGUGUUCCCAGGCCCAGGGACAGCGUCAUGUCAUGCAGUGCUGGGGCACCUCUGGCACAGCAAGAAGUAGUGGGGGAAGAGGAGCAGUGUGAGAUUGCACUGGAGAAUACAGUGCGUGUCCCCUUGGAGUGACUCCAAGUACCUGCUUGCAGACCAACUCCUCAGUUUCUCCUGUGCUCCACCACUGUGCUGCAAACUACUGGGUCGGCCGUCAGACGGUGCUUGGACUUCAGCUCCUGCAGCAGAGAACAGGAUUUGGUGUCCUGCUGCGCAACUCAGGGGAAGGCUGAGGCAGAAGCCACCCCUGCAGUUCUCAGGAUGUAGUAAUGGAAGUGCUUUCUUCAUCAGCAAAGCCAUUUAAUGAACUUUCUACUUCCGACCACCGCUCCUCUGCGUCACAGUUCAGUGCAGCCUGAGGAGCCUCUGUCACAGAACCUUGGGUCUGAAGUGAUUCAGGUUAAAAAUCCCUCUUGCGAAGGCCUUGAGAGCUUGAUUUUGUGUUUACCUUUGUUUUGAUUCCCCAUGACCCCUACUUUCUCCUUAGCACAACUGACAGAUCUGCAAACGGCAGCGAGCUGCUGGAAGUCAGGAACUGCUCUUCUGCUGGCUUUGCUGCCGAACAAAGCUGUGAUCGCCUACGCAGCGAGUACCUCCUCAGCACGCCAGGCUGAGGGGGCUAUCACUCUGCAGCAUAGUUCCAGGAACAGCAGUUUGGUGCCGGUGCACACAGCAUCCAGCCCUUCAGCUGUGACUGAAGCGCAGUUUCUGAAGGAAUGGGUUUAUGGGAGAGGAUUUAGGGAAAUCUUAGCUCUGCAACCUGGUCUACAUUUAAGACUCUUGCAGGUAUAAUAGUAUUGCUAGAGCAGGAUUUGUUGUUACUUUUCAGGCAGUUAUGUCGAUAAAAUCUCUUGAUGUGGAAGUAACUAUAGCAGUACAGAAUUCUCUUAAAUACUAACUAUUCUGUUUCUUAUAUAGGAAUUACUUUGAGAAUGUAAUGCACUUUGUUAUGACUUUACACUUAAAUACGUCUUCUGUUUAAUUGUUUAGAGCAGGUUAGGGGGUGCUGAGGUGACUAGCUCAUGCUAUCCUUAACAGAUAAAAGUUGAGUAUCUUUGGAAAAACAGCUUUUCUUUAUGACUUUUGUUUUUUCAGAUGUCUCUGUUCCGGUCUUUAUCUAUAACUAGCCAUACAUAACAGAUAUGAAUGCAUGUGCCUGUGCAUACAGAUUUAUCUGUUACGUGCACACACAUACAGAUUUGAGAAGCUCUGGAGCAGAGUUGUUUGCAUAAUGAGUUUCGUUUUUCUUCACAGGUCAGCACCUUAAGCGAACCUUGGAAAAACUAUUGUGUGAUCAGUCAUCACUCUGAAGCAGCAGCACCCGUUUGGUAAAGGUAGUCUUGGAUAAAAAUGUGUGGUUUCAGUGACUUGUCGUUGAAACCUUGUGGUUUCUGUGUAGGUGGCUGUAUAGGCUGGACACGUUUGACAUCCUUGUUUCUGAGCUGUGAAAUCUGUACAUCUAAUUUAUGAAAAUUAUCUCUGGUUUAAUUUUAUUUUUUUUUUUAAUGAAGUCAACAUAUUUUCCUUGCAUUCAGUGGAAACAGUAAUGGAAAUAGUUUUAAGAUGCACUGUGAGCAUGUUUUGACCUCAAAGAGCGAGACGAAUCAAGAUAACUCUUGGUUACGAUGAAGGUCUAAGAAGGAAAUUAAAAUUAAAUACAGAGAGCCAGAUGUGAGAGGAAAGCAUUUUUCAAGUGCGGAGACAAAGAGUAGCUAACUGUGGGAAAUGACAUAGACAUUAUAAAAUGAAAAUAUUCCAAGUGAGAAUUUGAUUUAAAAAACCCCAACUAGCUAAGUAAGGUAAUUUAGAAUAAACCACGAUACCAGUGCCAUUUAAGGUAACCAGCAAUAUCUGUGGCCUUUCGGGUGGUCUAAAUAAGUAAGUUUACAUGUAAGGUAAAUCCAUGACUAAAGAAUCUAAAGGUAGGACAAAGAACUGCAGCAGAAGCAGGUGGAAUCCCACAAAAACAUAAUUGAUCAGUUGUGUGCUUUUUUCUUUUGUAAUUGAGUUUUAUGCUACUUUCAGUGAAUUGAUUCACAGAAUCAUCAAGUUUGGAAGAGACCUUCAUGAUCAUCUAGUCCAGCUGUCAAGCAACACCACCAUAAGGGUGGAAUGUGCUGAUGAUGAUGCAGGGGAUUUGGCAGGUCUGCACAGCUGGAUUUGGAAGGAGGGGAGAGUAAGUUGGCUUCGCUAUGUCAUGUAUGUGGAAACACAUCCAUGUCUGCAUCACUCAACUGGAGCCAGGAGAGCCAUGGACCCACCUCUUCUAGCCUUCAUUCCUUCUCUCACUCUUCUCCCUUCUGCUCUGAUGAGUGUCUCCUGUGCUGUAACUCCCCAGAAAGCUGAGCUGUGGCAAUACAGGAUACCUGAGCCUCUAAACUGGCAAAUCCUGUUCCCUUCACUGUCGGGAGCAGCGACUGCAGUGACUGCCCAGACUUCUGAGUUUUCCCCAACAACAGUUUUGCUUCUGGCAGGCAAGUUCCCAGAAGAAUAUACACCCUUCCCUGUUAGUGAACCAAUGGAAAUGCAUUAAAAAUGAGCAAAGACCUCUGUACAGAAAAUGAAGGUGAAGAAAAAGGAAAUUCAAAAUACAAAAUUUCUUGCUGAAAUAUAAAUGAAACGACUACUUGUGUGAAAAUAACUACGGACUGCAUUUGUGGGAGUACAAAAAUCUGCCUGAAAACAUUAGUCAGAGACUUCUGUGUGAGCAAAGAUUGAAAGUGUGAUCACCCACUGACAGUUAUUUCAGAGGGAUGACUGCAAGAUUCAUCUUAAUAAUUUUCAGUAAUUUCCAUAUUGAAACAUCAAUAGAAGACCAUAGCUUUUAAUUCCUUGCUACUGUCUCAUUAGUCCUCCUGGGAGAGUUGUUCCUUUUCAAGGAAAAAAAAAAUAAAAUAAUUAAAAGUGUUACUCUAACGUUAUACCUUUGACUGUAAAAUUAAAUUGUCUUGUCCUGCUUGUGUUUUCUUUUCAGAAACCUGAGGCAGUAAACACAUGACUGCAUCUGUAGGUGAAUAUACAAGACAAUAGUAAAAUUGGUCUCUAAAACUACUCUUUUGGGCAAGGACAUUUUUCUUGCACACUUAAAAAUUGAUACCUGUUCCCGGAACAGACAGUGUUCUUUCUCUGAACUAACCUGUGGGAAACCAAGAGACAAACAAAGAGGCACUGAAGAUCUCAUAGCUUUCCCAUGUCCCGAGAUAUGCAGAUAAACAAGGAUCAGCUUUCUUUAAUAGCAUCCAGAAUUCACCCAGAAGCAAUAUCAUAGGAUUCAGCGUUCUUUGCUGUUUAGCUCAGUUCCCACUCCCUAUCCUCCUGUUCUGAUUAUCAUAAGGAUUACACAACUACUUUGUUGUUGCCUCUGGGAAGACUCUAUCAGUGCCUUUUUUUCUCUUUGUAGCUAAGCCUGCCGUUCUUCAAAUCCCUGCUUGGUGGCAUUUUUAGGUGGUUUCUUAUCCGCUGCAUUUCUACUUGUAUUUCCCAGCUUAUUGUCCUCCUCACUCACCUGCCCUUUGCUGGCCAGGGACAGGCAGUGAACCACAAGUGUUAACACCUUUGCCCUGGGCACCUCCUCUCCCUCCCAGGAUAGUUCUGUUCCAGAUGCUGGGGAUCAAAAGCAGCUCCUUAAAUCUCCCCUUCUGCAGAUUGGACCCCCCUCCUCCCCGAUGUUGAGGGCCCAGCUGAAAAGUCACAGGACUGAUGGCACUCUGAAGGCUGCCAAGUAAUUCUACUUGAUACCGCUGCACAAAGGGCAAAAACGUGAAGGGAAAUGGAAACAUUAAACCUGAGAACAGGAAAACUCACGAGAAUGUCAGAAACGGCCUGAAGGAAAAAGGAGACAAAGCUGUAAUUUCCAAAACAAUACUGGGAGAUCAAAGGAGGCUGAUGCGCUUUGAAAUCGCUGUUUGUGGCAGAUCUGCAGGGAAAGGUUAAACAGGAACAUUAUUUUGAAGGGUGCUGUGAAAAAUACAGGCAAAGAGGCAAUAGAACCUCUAGAUUUUUUCUUGUCUCUCUUCUUGCCAUUGCCCUCUGCACUUCUGCAUUGGCCACACUGAGAAAUGUCACCAUUUACUUCACUUUAAAUUAUCUUUUAAAUUGAGCAGAGAUUAAACAGUUUUACCGUCUGACACAAUCACAUGCCAUGGAAACUCUCCUUACUCAUUCUCUGAGCCACCUUGUUUUCUUCUUUAUUGCAAGACCUGGUUCAAUGCUUUUAAGGAUUGACCUGCACAGAUUUUCCCUUUCAGCUCUAUUCUUCAUCAGAUCCUGAGUGAUUUUAGUGGUUUCAUCCAGUUUCUGCCAAAACAGAUAAAUAAUUAGAAGUGGCAAAAUGUUUCAUGCUUUAUCUUUUUAUCUGACAGAAAGAUACAUAGUGAAGCUGUUGGAAUUUAAACUAUGUCUUUAUAUUUAACCCGUUCCAUGAUGUUAAAGAAAGACAGCUUUAGCUUUUUUAUAAGGUUAAGAGGAUGGUCAGAAGAAGCCAGUAUUUUAUGCAUUAAAUUGUCUUGUCUCAAUUAAAUUGUAUAUUUCAUACAAUACAUUGUCUUCUCAUUAGGGUAAUUCAUUCUUCAGUGUUAUUUAAAAUCUUCUGUAAGUUAGUGGAAAAUGGCCUAAUAUGGGUUCAUGUGGACUGCUGUGCCUUACUAGUUCUUUAGACCUACACAGCACUUUUUUUUGCACCUUGUGAAAAUGGGGUAAACCAGCCAUAUUUAGCUAUUUUUCGGUUCCUGUUUUAUCCAUUGAUAGGAAAGACAGUCCCUUUGGCUGCCUCUUGCUCUGGACUUCCUCUAGAAAAUGUGUAUAUUCCUUACUGAAGAGAUUCAAGAGAACCUGAACCUUCAAGGAGUUAAUUUACUUUUCUUUUAAUACCAGCCAAGAUUUCAUUAUGAAGGACACUGUGCACAAACAAGAGCGGCUUAGUGCCUAGAGCAAGCGUUCAUGCACUGGUAUGAAUCAGAUCAGCCUCAAUCCACACCUCCAUCACUUCUCAGUCUAGUACUGAGAAAGCUUUCCAGGGCUGAUUAGUCAUUUGUUUUAAGUGCAAUAAAUGUCAGAGAAACUAAUUAAAAAAAGGACCUCAGUAAAUGUGAGGCAUAGCUGCUCUCUAGUGGACUCGUGAAUAGUGUCAGCAAUGCUAAGUACACUUAGCCCCAGAAAAUAAUCAUGUAAAAAGGAAUCAUGUAGAUACUCUGCUGAGAGACAGAAGAUGAAAAUUUCCUGCACCUCUGAGUUAAGCUGCUUCCUUGUUUCCUUGCCAUAUCUCCCCUCCUUAUGUAUCUGACUUACACCAGGGUUACAGUGAAAUAGCAGAAUAGCAGCUUUAAAAAUAUCUCCAGUGCUGUGGUGAGCAAUAUUUCAUUGUCUGUGUGUUCUAGUUUUGUUUGCAGAUGACAGUGUUUCCAUUUAGCAUCGUGUGAGAGUGGCAAGUAUCUCAGAGGUGAGGAAAACCAUUUUAUCAGAAAAGGGGAGGUGUUCAAAGUAGAAGUGCUUACUUCCUUAGGCGGUACGGAAAGCAGAGGGAAAAAUACCUACUGCACAGAGGACCUUCCCUUUUGGCAAUGUGAGAUCCUCUUGGGCUUUCUUAGGAAAAAAACUAUGUAAUCAAGGUCAAAUCGAGCCAGCCUGCCCAGGCAUAAGUGUGUGCACACAGGGGACGUUGGGCAGCCAGGUCCUGCCCAGCAGGGUAUGGGGCUGGAUGUGGGGCUGAGCAACGCUCAGCCUACAAACACCCCCAGGGACCACACUUCUAUUCCUGACCUUCCCAGCAGCUUCACUGGCUCAGAGUUUAGCUUACUGUGCACUUUAUGUCAAGGAAUUCUGCUAUAUCCACCAAAAUGCCCACAGAAAUAAUCUGCCUGUAUUGAUUUACUGACAGGUGAUCUUUAAAAGAAUUUCAGAGCAAGUCUAUCUGUUACAUUCUUUUAUUGCAGUAACUUCAAAAAUAAGUGACUGGUUUCAUGAGCAGCCCCUGAGAUAACUUAGGGACCAAAUAAUAUGACUCAAACCCACGAAAGUUUUACAGGACUGACUGAAAAAGUUAAAUCUUUAAUACUAUGAACAAAAUAAUGUGAGCAGCAGAUAAGCCUUUUGAAGAAAGCCUUGAUGCUGUGCAAGGACUAUUCAGCCAUAGACAAAGGACUGGUGUGUUUUCUGCUCCUUUUAGUCACAAAUCCAAAUUACAGCAUCAUAGGCACUGCUGUGAACAAAGUGAACUCCAUCCCAGCUGGAGCCAGUACACCCACAGUGAUUAAACUGGUUUGAUUGUGGAUCCUCUGGUUUCAGUCAACCACAUUAAUUCUUUUCUGGCAGGGACAAAGUCUAGGAUUUCUGAUUGCUAAUCUGUUGCUCACUAAUAAUUAUUUGCAUCUCCUCUUGGAAAGGAGUUCACUGAGUUCUUGUCCUGUGACGUACCUAGAAAGAGGUGGGUGUUUGGUUCUGUACCUGAAGUUCUAAGCUAAGUGUCUGUAAGUGUUUCCACCUCUGCAUCUGAGCAGAGGUGUUAAACACCUUUCUUUUACUCAAACUGUGGAAAGACUUCCUUAUUAGAAGUAAAAGAUCUGGAUUUUGUGGUCUGUAUCCCCAAGUAAAUGGGUGUAUUGUCCCUUGCCACUUCCAUUGUGAAUAUGUUUGAACAUGUGUGGCUGAGGUGCUGAUCUUUGGCACUACACAAACACCUAACCUUUAAUAUUGCAGUGUAGAUGAUACUAGAGAAUGGAAAGUAAGUCUGACUUUUACUACCCUUAUUAACCACUGGAUCCAUCCUUUAGUCCGGUGGGACUGACUAAACAGUGGUUUAAAUGAAAAAGACUCAGACUUAAAAAUAGGAAAUGCUUUUUGUUUCCAUAGGGAACUUAACAGGCUCAUCUGAAGGACAGCCUUGAUCUGUGAAAAUACUUCAGUCUGAACUGUGGAGAGGUGAAAACAUAUAUAUGAAAACUAAUAUUUUCUAUUUCCUUUUUGUUCAGCUUCCUGUAUGCUGAGCCCAGGUUGUUUAUUCUUCUGAAUGAUGCAAUGGGUUAACGGAUUAUAUGUGGGUUAUCAGUAAGGAAAUCUGAAGGUACAAGGACCAUAACAGUACCUUAUGUUUCACUUUGAUUAAACUGGUGGAAUUCCGUGCAAAUGGAAAAUUGUGGAGGCGUAUGGCCUUCAUUUUAAUCAAGAGGAUACAGUAGGAAGUCACACAAAACAUAAACUACCGUAUUAUUUCUAAAUCAUGAAAUAUCUUGAAGGCUUUCAAUUCAAAAUCCAUGCAGUCUUUUUACAAAAGAUAAAAUACAUGUGUAGUCCAUUCUGCUGAGGUUUAGGGAGAUGUGAGACUCAGGGGAAGGGUGUAGUGGAUUUACCUGGGAGCCAAGAGAAGUCACCAGGAGGUUGCCAUUCUCUAACUUAGCUUGAACUAUAAUGAUAAUGAGUGGGUUUCCUUUUGGAGGCUGCUUUCCACGACAAACAGCCUAUUGUGCAUGUAAAAACCCUUUAUUUGCUUUAGAAAUCUAAGUAAAUUUAAAAUAAUUUAAAUCAAUUUUUAAAAAUAAAAUAUCUUUUUUUUUCUUUGCUGCUUUAGAGAAUAUACAGCAAUGCAGAGUAAGCUCAGUUACCUUUUAGAAAAAAAAAGUUGUCACACAGGGAAGCUACCCUUAAUCCCCCACACCUGGGAGCUUCAAGGUGCAUGUAGUGACACGCUCAGCAUGGCAGAGCUUCCCUCAUGGGAAUCCACACCAGGCUGGCUGUCAUCCAAACCCUCAUGCAAUGCAGUCUGCUCCCCUCCAGGUAAGCCAUGAGAAAUGCUUGAGUAUCCAUGCACAGGAAAGGCAGCAGCAGGACCAUUUCAGUAGCUAUGUUCCCCAUGGUGCAUCUCAGUGGUUCUAAAAUAUGGAUGGAUGGUAGGAACAGCCCCUCUGUGCCUUAGGCAAAAGUAUUUGAUGCUCUAUGUGGACAGCAACCAAGAUUUUCUUUGGGGUGGGUCUGAUAGACAUUGUUCUGUACCUAACUGCUCUUUUUAAAAUAAGGAUCAGUUUGGUUGAGAACCAGCAGGGAAGGAAUGCCUUUGGCUGCAGGGAAGGAAUGCCUUUGGCUUACCCCACCUUCGUGCUGUGUGUUCAUGUUUUGAAACUGGGGUGGGGUGGUUUAUAUUUUGAUAGACCAUUAUGUAGGAGGGAAGCAAAUAGCCUGAAACUUCGACCUGAUUAGUGUCUCCUUCCUCACUAAUGUUGUCAUUUAUAUGCCACACAGCUGCCUGUGAGGGCAGCCAGGAGCUAAGGACAGUCCUUUACGCUAAAGGCUUCAGAUGUUCUUGCCCCCAUCGCCCUGAAUUCCUCUGCUUUCACUUGUGUGAGGAGGACUUUUUUCCUUCUUGCUUUUUGCUCUCUUCCUGUGACACUGGCAGCACUGGGGCACUCUGGCAUCUUUCCCCCGUGCACCAAGAAGGAAAUGUCCUUUUCUGAGUUAUGGGAGGUGGCAGUUUGUUUGCUGGGGAGCCGUGUAGCUGAGAUCACGUCUCUUAUGUCUGACCAGUUGAGAGGAAACAACACCCGGUAUUCUGAGGCUGAUAAAGGACCUCUAAUGCUCAGGUCACCUCAAACCAGUUAAAAAGGGGUGAAGAUGUGGUUAUGGUGGGUGUCUUGGAGAAGAGAGGGUGAUACUAGAGGGGUUGAGUCCAACAUCCUUCAUGCCUGGAGGAACACCACCACGUCCCAGGACCACAUUUGUGGGAGACAGCUGCUCUUUCUGCAGGAGGCAACAACAUCUGCAGCACCUUUGGGAACAGCUGCUGCAAUAGAGAUGCCAAGCCAUCCUCUUCUCCUCCUUCAAAUCCUUCCUGGCAAACAGUUUUCCUGGGAUGACUUCACCAAGUACAUCAGUUUACCCAAGGCUCUGAGAAUGAAAUGUGCAGGCAAUAUUUUUCUCCUAAAUUUAUAGGCAAGAGGUACGUGAGUGACUGACUUCAGUGCCUACCAUGUACCUCCUACUGCAAGAUGCAGGACCUGCAUAGGCUCAGCACUGGUAAGAAUCUCUGUGGCAUUAGUCACAGCUAGUGGCUACCCACAGUCACUCUGGCUGUCUGAGCAAGAAAGCUUGUGGGUUUGUUUCAGCUUCCUUGCUAGAAGUCUCAAAGCCAGACAUCCUCAUUUUGGUCAAGAGAUGCAUUCCCAAACCUGACUUAUCCUUCUUAUUACUUGCUAUUUUAGCCACUUGCUAUUUUGGCAACUAUUUCAUCUUUUACUCCUGCCCUGUGAGCGUGUCAGUGCCUGGUGCUCCCAGAGCGUUCUGUGCUGCCUCGAUGGUGUCACUGCAUCCUCAUCCACUGCUUCCUCCCGCUGCUCCAGAGCAUCUCUGACAUCACCAGCCCGCCAGUGCUGCCGCAAAACUGGCAUGUCCUCGUCACUCUGCUCCCAUGAGGGCAAAGAAACAGCUCCCAGGGCCUCACUGGAAAGCCCAUGACUCCCAAUGUCUUCUUUUUCUCUCAAUAGUGACAAUUUCUCUCCCUGGCUUCAGAAUCUUUGUUUCCGUUUUAAACAGAUUAAUUUUGUUUGCCUUGACAGAGGCUUUUUUUUUUUUUUUGUUAAGCUCUGCCUCGUUUCUUCUCCACUCCUUCCUAAAUCUCAGAUGGAAAAUGCCUCUUCCUGUCCCCAGACUUGUUUUUCUCUUCUGCUGGGACUGAUUUAAUUGUUAUUCUGCUCUUCCAAUAUUGCUCAAAAGGUGUAGCAGAAAACAAAGUUGUAUUGUAUUGAAACAGAAAACAAUUUCAGAGUGGGAUGAAUCACCCUUUCUUCAACCCCCACCUAAAAACAAUAAAAAAAAAAAAAGAUGAUUCACUGUAGAAAGUCUAUGUGAGGUUUCUCAAAUUCAGUUCUGGUUUAUCAUCUGUGAGGCAAUGCUGUGCUUGUCAUUCUGGCAAUGUGGUAUCACUUUACUUGAAAAUGGCUUGGAGGUUUUACUGAUUCAUUCUGGGAGAUUAGUUUGUUGGUAAAUUAGAAGGUUAAUUUUGAUUCUUUCAUGAAGCAUUUGAAACAUAUUUUGGACUAUAGAAAAUUUCAGUAAAUUGAAGUAAAUAUAUAAUAAAAGAUAACAAGAAGUGUGAUAAAAAUACAACAUGCUUAAAGCCAGUGUAAGGCAGUGUGGGUUUUUUUAUGAGACACAAAAGCUGUGGAAGCUUUUGCCUCAGUAUCAUCAAGGGCAAGACCUUUGUGAGGUAAUUCAGUACAAUUAGGCUGACACUGAUAACAUCAUCUCUAAUUAAAUUACAGAAAAUGGAUAAAAAGAAAACAUCAAACCUGAGGGACAGUGAUACUUGAUGUACAUUUCUCAGGGUGCAGGAGUAAUGCCUGGUGCCACAGGCUGCCAGUGCUACCCCAGGUAGGUGCUGGGGAUGGUUCUUAGUCCCCUCAGGCUGGAUCCAGCCUUGCAGUUGCCUUGGCCUGUCUGUGUUUCCAUCUCCAUAUGGUGAGUGGAAUGAGUAUUCUGUAAUCUGGGUGAAAAUGUACAUUGUUCAUAUGUCUACUUUUGUGUUAUCACAUGAUCCCCAAAGAGGGAGACCACAGAACAGCUUUGGUGGAAGCUGAGCUGUGUGCAUCAGCUGCAGGAGCACUCUGGAGACACUGAGGGGACUGAGCAUGUCUUGGGGACUGCUCUGUGAGGGUAAGGGAAGUUUCUCAAGCUCACAACAAAUUGCAGUGGAUUUAAAUAAAAAAUGUAGGUGCAGUACUGAAUAAAGGCUACUGAAAUACUCUUUAUUUUCCAUUUCCCUAACAGGCUUUUUUCAAAAUUACUGCAAGAAGGACUUGAAGUAACCAAGCCUUGCCACCCAGGAGAGAGCAAAGGAUCUGAGAAGUGGCACAUACCUCCUUCCCAAGCCCCCCCAUGUCUUGGCUGCUAGCCCUGGCUCCAGCAGUCUCUGACUCGAAUGAACACUCAGACUGAAAACCAGGCUUCGCUGAUGUUGCAGAGGGAGGAUCUCAGCUGGAUGCCCACAUUACAGCCAUCCAAGGGGAAUCUGCAAAUGCCAGAAGGAGUUCUGAAGAUUGAAGGAGUAAAGCCAGAAGAACAGGCAGGCAGACUGAGAAUGAACACCCCACUGAGGAGACUUAGGACCCUCUGUACCUCCUGCGGUGGCCUGGAUGUGUCAGUAGUGGUUUCACCUGGAAAAUGUUCCCGCUCCCGGCCUGGCCGGUGCCAUCCCCACCUGCCACCGCGACAGCACGAAGCGGAGGAGCUCAGCGAGCCGUGCCGAGACGAACCAGGCACGUUCCCCCCGGCUUGCUGAGCGCAAGUGCCGCAUUUUGCGAAUCCCGGUGUUUUUUCGGGAGCGUUUUCCAUGGUGACAAAGCUGGGGGGGGCGGAGGUAACCAGGCGGCAACGGCGGCCUG